rnacentral:rRNA from 1 species
GACGAACGCUGGCGGCGUGCUUAACACAUGCAAGUCGAACGGGAACCUUUAUUUCGGUAAAGGUGAGAGUGGCAAACGGGUGAGUAACACGUAGGCAACCUGCCGACAGGAUGGGGACAACAUUCCGAAAGGAAUGCUAAUACCGAAUGGAGUCCGGGGAUGGCAUCAUCUCCGGAUAAAAGAUGGCCACUGAAUAUGCUAUCGCCUGUCGAUGGGCCUGCGUCUGAUUAGCCAGUUGGCGGGGUAACGGCCCACCAAAGCGACGAUCAGUAGCCGGUCUGAGAGGAUGAACGGCCACAUUGGGACUGAGACACGGCCCAGACUCCUACGGGAGGCAGCAGUGGGGAAUCUUCCACAAUGGGCGAAAGCCUGAUGGAGCAACGCCGCGUGAGUGAAGAAGGUCUUCGGAUCGUAGAGCUCUGUUGCACGGGACGAAAACCGAGCUUGAAAACAUUGAGUUUGGGUGACGGUACCGAGC